rnacentral:rRNA from 1 species
UAGUAACGGCGAGUGAAGCGGCAACAGCUCAAAUUUGAAAGCUGGCCUUCGGGUCCGCAUUGUAAUUUGUAGAGGAUGCUUUGGGGCAGCCGCCUGUCUAAGUUCCUUGGAACAGGACGUCAUAGAGGGUGAGAAUCCCGUAUGUGACAGGACAUGGCACCCUAUGUAAAGCUCCUUCGACGAGUCGAGUUGUUUGGGAAUGCAGCUCUAAAUGGGAGGUAAAUUUCUUCUAAAGCUAAAUACCGGCGAGAGACCGAUAGCGCACAAGUAGAGUGAUCGAAAGAUGAAAAGCACUUUGGAAAGAGAGUUAAAAAGCACGUGAAAUUGUUGAAAGGGAAGCGCUUGCAAUCAGACUUGUUUAAACUGUUCGGCCGGUCUUCUGACCGGUUUACUCAGUUUGGACAGGCCAGCAUCAGUUUCGGCGGCCGGAUAAAGGCCCUAGGAAUGUGACCCCCUCUUCGGAGGGGGUGUUA